GUAGGGGGCUAGCGUUGUCCGGAUUUAUUGGGCGUAAAGAGCGUGUAGGCGGCCAGGUAGGUCUGCUGUGAAAACUCGAGGCUCAACCUCGAGACGUCGGCGGAAACCAUCUGGCUAGAGUCCGGAAGAGGAGAGUGGAAUUCCUGGUGUAGCGGUGAAAUGCGCAGAUAUCAGGAAGAACACCCGUGGCGAAGGCGGCUCUCUGGGACGGUACUGACGCUGAGACGCGAAAGCGUGGGGAGCGAACAGGAUUAGAUACCCUGGUAGUCCACGCCGUAAACGAUGGGUGCUAGGUGUGGGCGGUGUCGACUCCGUCCGUGCCGAAGCUAACGCAUUAAGCACCCCGCCUGGGGAGUACGGCCGCAAGGCUAAA
rnacentral:rRNA from 1 species